AACAGCGUAAUUCAGAGGAAGAAUGCAAGGCUCAUAUUUGGUGUUACCUUGAAGUCGCUGGAUCGAAACCAGCCGCUGUUACUA